AAUCAACGCUGGCGGCGUGCCUCAGACAUGCAAGUCGAACGAUUAAGACUUCCUUCGGGAAGUGUAUAAAGUGGCGCACGGGUGAGUAACACGUAAGUAAUCUACCCUCGAGUGGGGAAUAACGUUCGGAAACGGACGCUAAUACCGCAUAAUGCAGCGGCAUCGCAAGAUGACAGUUGUUAAAGGAGUAAUUCGCUUGAGGAGGAGCUUGCGGCAGAUUAGCUAGUUGGUAAGGUAACGGCUUACCAAGGCUACGAUCUGUAUCCGGUCUAAGAGGACGGUCGGACACACUGACACUGAAUAACGGGUCAGACUCCUACGGGAGGCAGCAGUCGGGAAUUUUGGGCAAUGGGCGAAAGCCUGACCCAGCAACGCCGCGUGAAGGAUGAAGUAUUUCGGUAUGUAAACUUCGAAAGAAUGGGAAGAAUAAAUGACGGUACCAUUUAUAAGCUCCGGCUAACUACGUGCCAGCCGCCGCGGUAAUAC
rnacentral:rRNA from 1 species